rnacentral:rRNA from 1 species
GCCGCAGUAUCCUAACUGUGCGAAGGUAGCAUAAUCAUUUGCUAUUUAAUUGAUAGCUUGUAUGAAUGGUUUGAUGAAAAAUAUUCUUUCUUUAUUUUAUAUAUUUGAAUUUAAUUUUUUAGUUAAAAAGCUAAAAUUGAAUUAUUAGACGAUAAGACCCUAUAGAACUUUAUUAUUUAUAAAUUAAAUUAAUUUGGAGUUAUUAUUUUAUUUGAUUUAAAAUAUAAUUUGGUUGGGGUGACUAUUAGAUUAAAUUAACUCUAAUGUUUAUAUUCAUAAAUUAAUGUUUUUUUGAUCCUAUUUUUUAGAUUACUAGAUUAAGUUACCUUAGGGAUAACAGCGUAAUUUUAUUGGAGAGUUCAUAUCAAUAAUAAAGUUUGCGACCUCGAUGUUGGAUUAAA